rnacentral:rRNA from 1 species
CACGUAGGGCGCGAGCGUUGUCCGGAAUUAUUGGGCGUAAAGAGCUCGUAGGCGGCCUGUUGCGUCCGCUGUGAAAGCCCGGGGCUCAACUGGGGAGGGUCAUCGGUAACGGUCGUGCUAUGAGUGCAGGAGAGGGAAGUGGAACUCCGGGAGUAGCGGUGAAAUGCGUAGAGACCCGGAGGAACACCAGUGGCGAAGGCGGCUUCCUGGUCUGCGACUGACGCUGUGGCGCGAAAGCUAGGGGAGCAAACGGG